UGGGGAAUUUUGGACAAUGGGCGAAAGCCUGAUCCAGCAAUGCCGCGUGUGUGAAGAAGGCCUUCGGGUUGUAAAGCACUUUUGUCCGGAAAGAAAUCCUUGGCUCUAAUACAGUCGGGGGAUGACGGUACCGGAAGAAUAAGCACCGGCUAACUACGUGCCAGCAGCCGCGGUAAUACGUAGGGUGCAAGCGUUAAUCGGAAUUACUGGGCGUAAAGCGUGCGCAGGCGGUUUGCUAAGACCGAUGUGAAAUCCCCGGGCUCAACCUGGGAACUGCAUUGGUGACUGGCAGGCUAGAGUAUGGCAGAGGGGGGUAGAAUUCCACGUGUAGCAGUGAAAUGCGUAGAGAUGUGGAGGAAUACCGAUGGCGAAGGCAGCCCCCUGGGCCAAUACUGACGCUCAUGCACGAAAAGCGUGGGGAGCAAACAGGAUUAGAUACCCUGGUAGUCCACGCCCUAAAACGAUGUCAACCAGUUGUUGGGGAUUCAUUUCCUUAGUAACGUAGCUAACGCGUGAAGUUGACCGCCUGGGGAGUACGGUCGCAAGAUUAAAACUUAAAUGAAUUGACGGGGUCAUAGCUGUUUCCU
rnacentral:rRNA from 1 species